CACUAAGAAGCUAAUACGGACAGCACUAGCCUUUUAAGCUAGCACAGGUGACUACCAAUCACCCUCAGUGA
rnacentral:tRNA from 1 species